ACGUGGCAGCGGUUGAGGACCGAAGAGACACGAUGGUUCGGACCACAUGUUUGCCCAAACGGACGUGGCAGCGGUUGAGGACCGAAGAGACACGAUGGUUCGGAUCUGUUUGCCCAAACAGGGCACGUGGUGGCGGUUCAAGACCGAAGAGACACGUCGGUUCGGACCUCCUGUUUGGCCAAACGGUCACGUCAGUUCAAGGAAACCCCUGGACUACUAUAAAUAGGGCCCUCCAGAAUGAGAUUAAACACAAAAACGAAUUCAGAUAAUCAAUUUGUCAUAUUAGUUUAGUUUACAUACUCAGUCCCGAGUAUCAAGCCGUUCGACCGGAUAGCGAACUCCUAGUGCUAAGGACUCGUCUAUCAUCCCGAAACCGUUGUAUCUUGGGGGCAAUUACUGUAGAUCCGCGAGCACAAGAGCGGAAGUAAUUUUGCCUUACGGAGAGAGAUUUUAUCUCGCCUCGGUUCUGCAUUAAUUCUUUUAUCGUCAUCCUAUUUUCUACACUACCCAAAUUCAAAAUCAAUGAAUGUGAUAAAUGUGUAUACAUUAAAGGAACAUCCGACAAUUUUGUCAUUGUUUGUCUCUACGUUGAUGAUAUGCUAAUUAUGGGCAGCAACAAUAAACAUGCUCCAGCACCUGCUGCUGCCGAAAAGCCGGAAAAAUUCGCAGGUUCUGAAUUUAAACGUUGGCAGUCUAAGAUGCUGUUUUAUCUUACUACUUUGAAUAUGGCUCGUUUUGUGAAUGAAUCUCCUCCAACUGUGGGGGAAGACGAGACUGAUUCGCAACUGCGGAUAGCAUAUGAUGCAUGGCAUCAUAGCGACUUUCUGUGUCGCAACUAUAUUCUGAAUGGGCUAGACAACACUCUCUAUAAUGUUUACUCUAGCGCCAAGACGUCCAAGGAACUAUGGGACUCCUUGGAGACGAAGUACAAGGCAGAAGAUGCCGGCUUGAAGAAGUUCAUAGUCGGUCGUUUUCUAGACUUCAAAAUGGUUGAUAGCAAAACCGUUGUGGAGCAAGUGCAAGAAUUUCAACUGAUCCUGCACGACAUUCUUGCCGAAGGUAUGGAAUUGUCUGAAUCUUUUCAGGUGGCCGCGGUGAUAGAGAAAUUACCACCACAUUGGAAGGACUUCAAGAACUAUCUCAAGCACAAACGCAAGGAGAUGGGACUUGAAGACUUGAUCGUUCGCUUGAGAAUCGAAGAGGACAAUAGAAUCUCCGAAAACAAGACGAACAAAACUUCCAUGGAGGCAAAAGCAAAUCUAGCCGAGUCUAGCAACAAGAAGAAACGCAAGUUCAAAGGCAAACAUCCAGACUCAAAAGGUCAGAAGAGGAUCAAAGGAGAUUGCUUCAACUGCGGCAAACCCGGUCACAUGGCAAAAGAUUGUCGCAAACCGAAGAAAGACAAGCACAAUGGUCACCAUCAAGCCCACGUGACGGAGACAAAGUCUGUGCCCCUCGACUUAGGCGAACUUGACUUGUGUGCCGUCGUAGACGAGGUCAAUAUGGUCGGCAGUCCAAAAGGAUGGUGGAUCGACACCGGUGCUACCCGGCAUAUCUGCGCCGACAAGACAAUGUUCUCCUCGUAUGAAGCUCUCUCCGGCGAUAGAAAACUGUAUAUGGGCAAUUCUACCGCAUCCUCUAUCAUCGGAAUUGGAACCAUUGUGCUCAAGAUGACGUCGGAACUCAAGAUAACCCUACAGAAGGUGCUGCAUGUUCCCGACAUUCGCAAGAACUUGAUCUCAGGAUCCGCUUUGUGCAACGCCGGAUUUAGACUAGUGUUUGAAGCAGGCAAAGUUGUAAUGACCAAGAAUGGUCACUAUAUAGGAAAAGGCUACCUAGAUAAUGGCCUUUUCAAGCUUAAUGUUAUUCCUGUACUUGUACGUGAUAAUGCAAUAAAGGAAAAAGUUACUUACUUGGUUGAGUCUCCUAAUUUAUGGCAUGAUAGAUUAGGACAUGCAAAUCUAAACACACUAAGUCGUUUAGUAAAUUUAGACUUAUUGCCAAAGAUGUCUUUCAAUCAACACCAAAAAUGUGAAAUUUGUGUUGAAGCAAAAAUGGCAAAAUCUCCUUUUCAUUCAGUGGAAAGAUCAACGAAACCUCUUGAAUUGAUUCACACCGAUCUAUGUGAUUUAAAACUUGUGCAAACAAGAGGUGGAAAGAAUUACUUUAUAACAUUUAUAGAUGAUUUCACAAGAUUUUGCUAUGUGUAUCUUUUGAGAAGUCAAAGACGAAGCAUUACGAAGUCUUUACAAAACUAAAAAAUGAAGUUGAGAAUCAACUUAACACCAAAAUCAAAAUGAUUCGAAGUGAUCGAGGUGGCGAGUACGUUGCACCUUUUGAGGAAUUUUGUCGUGAAAAUGGCAUUAUUCAUCAAACGACUGCACCUUAUUCUCCACAAUCAAAUGGUGUUGCAGAACGAAAGAAUAGAACAUUGAAAGAAAUGAUGAAUGCUAUGUUGAUAAGCUCAGGCCUAUCACAUAACAUGUGGGGGGAAGCUAUUCUUUCGGCUAAUAAAAUUUUGAAUAAAUUACCCCAAAAGAAACAAGAAAAAACCCCAUAUGAAUUAUGGAAAGGAAGGAAGCCGUCCUAUAAAUAUACAAAAGUGUGGGGGUGCUUAGCAAAAAGUUGAAGUACCUAAACCCAAACAAAUAAAAAAUAGGACCAAAAACUAUUGAUUGCAUCUUCAUUGGAUAUGCAAACAAUAGUAGUGCGUACCGAUUCUUGGUACACAAAUCGGAAGUACCCGAUAUGAAUGAGGGAAUGAUUAUAGAAUCAAGAAAUGCCAUAUUUUUUGAAAAAAUAUUCCCCAAGAAUCGAGGAGAACCCGUAUCACAAUCAGAAUAUGCUAGAGUUAUUGGAAGCCUAAUGUACUUGUCAAAUUGUACAAGGCCAGAUAUAGCAUAUUCGAUUAGUAAAUUAAGUCGGUUUACAAGUAAUCCCGGGAAGGAUCAUUGGACCGCAUUGACAAGAGUGUUGAGAUACUUAAAGCACACAAUCUCUCAUAGUAUACACUAUUCGAGAUAUCCCGCAGUUUUGGAAGGAUAUUGUGAUGCCAAUUGGAUAUCCGACACUAAAGACUCUAAAUCCACAAGUGGGUUCGUAUUUACCAUUGAUGGAGGAGCAAUAUCUUGGAAAUCUUCUAAGCAAACAUGUAUAGCCCGAUCUACAAUGGAAUCGGAAUUUAUUGCUUUAGACAAAGCCGGUGAAGAAGUCGAAUGGUUAAGAAACUUCUUAGAAGAUAUUCCAUGUUGGGAAAAACCUUUGCCUCCUGUUAUGAUACAUUGCGAUAGCAUGGCUGCCAUAUGGAGAGCAAAGAAUAGUUUGUAUAACGGUAAAUCUCGACACAUUCGUCGAAGACAUAAUACCGUUAGACAAUUGAUCACUACAGGAAUAAUGUGCAUUGACUAUGUAAAGUCAAAAGACAAUAUUGCGGAUCCGUUUACUAAAGGUAUUAAUCGUGAUCAAUUGUAUAACGCAGUAAGGGGAAUGGGAUUAAAAUCCACACGUUAAGAACUUUCAUAGUGGUAACUCAACUAUGAUGACUGGAGAUCCCAAGAACAUGGUUCAAUGAGACAACUAAAUUAUGGAAAUUCAAGUUGAGCACUUGAAACUUUCAAAAUCCAUUCUCAUAGCUAGCUCAAGUGCAAAAGCCUAGCAGCUUAGUGGUAAAGGGUAAGCCAUCAAAAGCUUUUAAUGAUUCCUAUAGCCUUAUUAGGUGGAGUAUGACAGGAUACUCUUUAUAGGAGAUCACCUAUACAAGUGAAGAAGUGGGGUCGCUUCAAAUUAUCAAUAAACACUUGUGAAUCCAAGAAAUGGUCCAAGGCCGAAAUGGACACAACGUGAGAACGAAAGAUAUUAGAUCUAUUAUUGUAUGUAUGUUGUUGACUAGGUUUACACAAAAGUAGUUGACCGGUUCAAGACAUCAUGUUCACCGAGCAACGAGUAAAUCCGAUGGUAUUACACUAAGGAAGGUUCAAAGCUAACAACUACCUAUCCUAAUGCAAUAAUGGAUCGUCGGGACUUAGUUUUUGCAUUUGAAUUAAUCAUCAUUCAUGUGGGGAUUGUUGGAAUAAAUGGCUUAAUUAGUCCAUAAUUACUUUGUCAUUAAUGGCAUUCAAUGGUAUAUUUGAAUGUACAUGAGUAGAUUAAUUUGGAAUUUAUGUUCGAUCAUUAUGUUUUGAAUGUUUACUUAUUUAAAUCUAUCCAUGGUUGGAUGAGUUGUUUGCCCAAAAUGUGGCAGCGGUUGAGGACCGAAGAGACACGAUGGUUCGGACCACAUGUUUGCCCAAACGGACGUGGCAGCGGUUGAGGACCGAAGAGACACGAUGGUUCGGAUCUGUUUGCCCAAACAGGGCACGUGGUGGCGGUUCAAGACCGAAGAGACACGUCGGUUCGGACCUCCUGUUUGGCCAAACGGUCACGUCAGUUCAAGGAAACCCCUGGACUACUAUAAAUAGGGCCCUCCA
rnacentral:lncRNA from 1 species